AUUGAACGCUGGCGGCAUGCCUUACACAUGCAAGUCGAGCGGCAGCGCGGGGGCAACCCUGGCGGCGAGCGGCGAACGGGUGAGUAAUAUAUCGGAACGUGUCCUGUAGCGGGGGAUAACCUAUCGAAAGAUGGACUAAUACCGCAUACGACCUACGGGUGAAAGCGGAGGACCGCAAGGCUUCGCACUAUAGGAGCGGCCGAUAUCGGAUUAGCUAGUUGACGGGGUAAAAGCCCACCAAGGCGACGAUCCGUAGCUGGUCUGAGAGGACGACGAGCCACACUGGAACUGAGGAGCGGUCCAGACUCCUACGGGAGGCAGCAGUGGGGAAUGUUGGACAAUGGGCGCAAGCCUGAUCCAGCCAUGCCGCGUGAGUGAAGAAGGCCUUCGGGUUGUAAAGCUCUUUCGGCGGGGACGAAAUGGUUCGUGCUAAUACCACGGACUGAUGACGGUACCCGAAGAAGAAGCACCGGCUAACUACGUGCCAGCAGCCGCCGCAG
rnacentral:rRNA from 1 species